rnacentral:rRNA from 1 species
GACGGAGGAUGCAAGUGUUAUCCGGAAUCACUGGGCGUAAAGCGUCUGUAGGUCGUUUAAAAAGUCUACUGUUAAAAAUUGAAGCUUAACUUCAAAGGUGCCGUAGAAACUUUUAAACUUGAGUAUGGUAGGGGUAGAGGGAAUUUCCAGAGGAGCGGUGAAAUGCGUAGAUAUUGGAAAGACCACCAAAGGCGAAGGCACUCUACUGGGCCAUUACUGACACUGAGAGACGAAAGCUAGGGGAGCAAAUGGG